rnacentral:rRNA from 1 species
GGACAAGACUCUCGGCAAUGGAUAUCUCAGCUCUCGCAUUAAUGAAGAGCACAGUGAAAUGUGAUACAUGGUGUGAAUUGCAGAAUCCUGCGAACCAUCGAGUCUUUGAAUGCAAGUUACGCCCGAGGCCAGCCGGCCGAGGGCACAUCCACCUGGGCGUCAACUGUCGCAUCGCUCCGUGCCAACUCUGUCCCAACUCUGUCCCCCCGAUGGGUGCAUGAUGGUCAAG